UGCCAGUUAGUGGUUUUCCAUUUGGGUGAC
rnacentral:piRNA from 1 species